CAGCCUGGCAACUCAGAUAUAUGCAAACAUAUUCCUGGGAUAGAAAGAUGAUUUUGAAAGCCAUCUUGCAAACAUGGGUGUCUAGCCGGAAGCUCAUGGGGACUUGGAUAUAUGGAGGCUUCAGAAGAGGGACCAGGCAUGACAGCGUUCCCUAUGUCAGCAUCAUGUUUCUAGUGACAGUAAGGCACAGUAUAUUGUCAUACUUCCUUUUUGUGAUGCUGUGGACAGAAACCAGGGUCUCUCCUCUGCUAGGAAUGUGUUCUAUUACUGAACAACAUCAUCAGCUACUAGUACAGAAUCAACAGUAAGAGCCUGACUCGCAUCCCAGCACUCCUCAAGCUGCUUCCUUGUUGAUGUUGGUUACGUGGCC
rnacentral:lncRNA from 1 species